GGAGGACCUCUGGCCUAUUUCAAAAGCAUCCUCUAAAGUGUAGCUUUCUCCAGGACGGCACAGAGGCUGGCAUGUGGCUGCGGUCACUCCUCGGGCGUGCCUAGCUCCUGCGGUGGCUUCCUCAAGACUGGGAAAUGCUGAAGUGUGAGAGACAUCGACCCCGAUGUACUCAUGAUCAGUGGAUAAACAGAAAUAAGACUGACACCGAUACGUCGAUGACUCACUUAUCUGCCUGAAUAAUACUUUUUCAAAUGGAAUUUUAUUUUCAGACCUCAGCUCUAUUAGCGAACUGACAGAUGAAAACGUAGCAGGCUGUCAGAACAUCUACAUGUUUAUUCCUUUCCUAAUCCAAUACAAAUAAAGUAACGGUUACGGAAACAAAGAAGAUUGUCCAAUGUCUUUUUCCGUACAGGAAUGUUUUCUACAAUGUGCCUGAAGGACUAUGCUCAGAUCUCCCCUGGAACAGCAUCCGAGACAGAGUUCAUGACUUUGAGGGGCCACCCCUUCCAUUGUUGGAAAGCUCUUAAUGGUUUUUUUAAAAUCUUCCUUAUAUUGCAUUUAAGGCCUUCUGGUUCACUGACAUCCAUCAGUCCAAGGUUUGCCUUCCACAAGAGCACGGAAUGUGGAAGGCUUCAGGUUUCAGUUACUUAAGGUGAUGGAAAGAGCACUAAACACAAGUAAGGAGACCUGCGUUCUAGCCCCAGUGUCUCCUUUCACCUGCCCUGCUGUGUUGAGCAAAGUGAAGUUAACCUCUUGGAGCCUCAGUUUCCUCGUUUAUGAAAUGAGAGCAACAUAUGCCGUUCUACCUCACAAGGCUAGUAUAAGAAUCAAUUAAAUAAUAAAAAUGAAAGAGCUGUGAAAAUUGUGAGGUGCUAUAUAUCACGUAAGGUGUUGCUACUACUGACAUGCAAGCCCUCCAAAUAUUGGAAGACACCUGGCAUUCCCUUGGUGUUUGCCGGCAUGACCAUUUCUGGAUUUCUUUUCCAUGCCAAUUGUCCUCAUCCAGAAGCUUCCCAUUUGUCACUGUCUCUU
ensembl:lncRNA